rnacentral:lncRNA from 1 species
CUUGAUACACAUACACCAAUUAAUCCGCACAUAGUAAGGGCAAUCACCCCAACAAGAUAAGAACUGGAUUUCAUCACCAGAUUCUUGCCCAAAUUAGGGAAUCAAUUAUCACAUAGCUAUCACAUUAAUUAAAAUCAAUUAGACGUUGGCCCCUAGGGAUAUUCGAGCUCAAUAGGAUGAAGAUCACCGAAAGUUGCACCAAUUUCGCUCUGUGGCUUAGUUGAUGUCUAGGCAAGCUUUGUCCCUUUAAGGGAGACAGUUCAUCUGUUCGAGGCAAGUGAUUUUUAAGUGGGACCUUUGCAACGCAUCGUGACCCCCCCACUUACCUGGAAGCUUACCUGGUCAGCUCAGUCAUUAGACCGGAUUGGAGGCUUAGGUGCCCUCUUCAAACCAGUUAGGAGCUGUUUAGUGAUUUUAGGGUGAACUUAAGGAAUUGAUGUGUUUUCUUUUUAGUGCAUGCUUGACUGUAUUUGACUAAUCAGAAGAGUCUUAGUGUAUGCUAGGGUGUCGUUCCAGGUCUCCUGAAUUAAUACCUUUUGACCCUGAAAUAGAGCGUUCUAUUAGGAUCCUUCGAGUUGAAAUCCGGACCUAUAGAACCAUAGGAUCCACACCACUUGUCGAGAUGGCUGAAGAGCAACCCAAACGGUUAAAAGAGUACUUCACUCCUUCCAUUUAUACCUCUCCAUCUUGUAUCCGACUACCUGAUACCACUGCUGCUAUGCAAUUUGAAAUUAAGUCUAGUGUCAUCCAAAUGCUUCCCUCUUUU